rnacentral:rRNA from 1 species
GACGAACGCUGGCGGCGUGCUUAACACAUGCAAGUCGAACGGAAAGGCCCUGCUUUUGUGGGGUGCUCGAGUGGCGAACGGGUGAGUAACACGUGAGUAACCUGCCCUUGACUUUGGGAUAACUUCAGGAAACUGGGGCUAAUACCGGAUAGGAGCUCCUGCUGCAUGGUGGGGGUUGGAAAGUUUCGGCGGUUGGGGAUGGACUCGCGGCUUAUCAGCUUGUUGGUGGGGUAGUGGCUUACCAAGGCUUUGACGGGUAGCCGGCCUGGGAGGGUGACCGGCCACAUUGGGACUGGGAUGCGGCCCAGACGCCUACGGGGGGCAGGAGUGGAGAAUAUUGCACAAUGGGCGGAAGCCUGAAGCAGGAACGCCGCGUGCGGGAUGACGGCCUUCGGGUAGUAAACCGCUUUCGCCUGUGACGAAGCGUGAGUGACGGAAAUGAGGAAAGAAGCACCGGCAAACUACGU